rnacentral:tRNA from 1 species
GCCAGUGUGGUAUAGUGGUUUGUGUGUUGGGCUAUGACUCUGGAGACCAGGGUUCGAAUCCUAGCUUGGCCA